GCCGGUGUAGCUUAAUCGGUAAAGCACCGGACCUUUAAUCCGGCUAUAUAGGUUCAAGUCCUGUCUCCGGCA
rnacentral:tRNA from 1 species